AGGUCGUCCAAAUAGAUCACUUUCGCCCACUUGUAAAUAAGGUCUCCAGGUUCAUCUCUUGAUUGGGAGUAAGUUUUACAUUUGGUGCAUAUCGUGCUUCACUGUGGAGGAGCUGCAGGGGAGCAACGCUCGAAAUCACCAAAACAAUUUUUCUUCUGAAACAAGUUUAUACCACAAGAUACACUCUUGAUUUGGAGGCCCAUACUAGGAAGAGCACCAACCGGAAUGACAAAUGAGCGAAGGUCAGAAUCUUUAUUUGAUACCAAGUUUUAGCCCAUCUGGUGGAUCACCUG
rnacentral:misc_RNA from 1 species